GUCGGCGAGCCACGGUGGCGCAACGGUCUCCAAAACCGUUUGCCGGGGGUUCGACUCCCUCCGCCGGUG
rnacentral:tRNA from 2 species